CAGUCGCCGCGGGAAUACGAAGGGGGCUAGCGUUACUCGGAAUUACUGGGCGUAAAGGGCGCGUAGGCGGCACGAUUAGUCAGGCGUGAAAUUCCUGGGCUCAACCUGGGGACUGCGCUUGAUACGGUCGAGCUAGAGGAUGGAAGAGGGUCGUGGAAUCCCCAGUGUAGAGGUGAAAUUCGUAGAUAUUGGGAAGAACACCGGUGGCGAAGGCGGCGACCUGGUCCAUUACUGACGCUGAGGCGCGACAGCGUGGGGAGCAAACAGGAUUAGAUACCCCAGUAGUCCCUGUCUCUUAUAC
rnacentral:rRNA from 1 species